rnacentral:rRNA from 1 species
UACGUAGGUGGCAAGCGUUGUCCGGAUUUACUGGGCGUAAAGAGCGCGCAGGCGGUCGUUCAAGUCGCGUGUGAAAGCCCCCGGCUCAACUGGGGAGGGUCACGCGAUACUGAUCGACUCGAAGGCAGGAGAGGGAAGUGGAAUUCCCGGUGUAGUGGUGAAAUGCGUAGAUAUCGGGAGGAACACCAGUGGCGAAGGCGACUUCCUGGCCCGUAUCUGACGCUGAGGCGCGAAAGCUGAGGGG